UACGGAGGGUGCAAGCGUUGUCCGGAUUUAUUGGGUUUAAAGGGUGCGUAGGCGGCCUUAUAAGUCCGUGGUGAAAGCCAACAGCUCAACUGUUGAACUGCCAUGGAUACUGUAAGGCUUGAGUACAGACGAGGUAGGCGGAAUGGAUGCUGUAGCGGUGAAAUGCAUAGAUAGCAUCCAGAACACCGAUUGCGUAGGCAGCUUACUAGGCUGUAACUGACGCUGAGGCACGAAAGCGUGGGGAGCGAACAGG
rnacentral:rRNA from 1 species